rnacentral:sRNA from 1 species
AGGUACUCCAGUACAUUCCGGUUCCUGCGCACUGUCCGCUCUUCGCUGGCGGCCGCUCGCGACACGAUGAGAGCC